rnacentral:lncRNA from 1 species
AUGAAUGCCUCCAAAUACUCGGAUAUUCGAUCUGUGUUCACCUCUAUUUACGAAUACAGUUGAUUUUUUUAUAUGAAAAAAAUUUACUAAUGUCAAGGCCUUUUUAAUUUUUAAUUAGUUUUAAUUUUAUCUGUCAUGUAUUAUUUAGAACAAAAAUGUUAUUAAUAUUAAUUAACAAUAUCUUUAUAUAUUUGUCAUUUAUUUUUAUAUACUUUUAUAUACACAUACAUGUGCACCUUGAUGUGAGCACUUUAUAAGUAUUUACCACUACUGAAAUAUCUAUAUUUUUUUUUGAAGUUGAAAUAUUUUUUUCUUAAUGCUUCUUUCACUACCGACCAAAUUGUAGUGAAAUGAUUAGUCUUAAUAAUUUUCUUUUCUUUUUC